rnacentral:misc_RNA from 1 species
CAGAGUUAUCCAACUCCCAAACCCAUGUGAACUUAUCUCUUUGUUGCCUCGGCGCAAGCUACCCGGGACCCAUCGCGCCCCGGGCGGCCCGCCGGGCGGACAAACCAAACAACUCUUGUUAUCUUAGUUGAUUAUCUGAGUGUCUUAUUUAAUAAGUCA